CAAAAAAUAGUUUAAUUUAAAACAUUAAUUUUGGGUAUUAAAAAUAUUUUAUAAAUUUUUUUGA
rnacentral:tRNA from 1 species